rnacentral:rRNA from 1 species
GCUCAGAAACUACAAAGGAAGUUGACGGGGCCCGCACAAGCGGUGGAGCAUGUGGUUUAAUUCGAAGCAACGCGAAGAACCUUACCAGGCCUUGACAUGCAGAGAACUUUCCAGAGAUGGAUUGGUGCCUUCGGGAACUCUGACACAGGUGGUGCAUGGUUGUCGUCAGCUCGUGUCGUGAGAUGUUGGGUUAAGUCCCGCAACGAGCGCAACCCUUGUGUUUAGUUGCAAACAGGUCAAGCUGUGCACUCUAGACAGACUGCCGUGGACAACACGGAGGAAGGUGGGGAUGACGUCAAAUCAUCAUGCCCCUUAUGAUCUGGGCUACACACGUGCUACAAUGGCCGGUACAACGGGCAGCGAAGGAGCGAUCCGGAGCGAAUCCUAAAAAGCCGGUCCCAGUUCGGAUUGCAGGCUGAAACUCGCCUACAUGAAGUUGGAGUUGCUAGUAAUCGCGAAUCAGAAUGUCGCGGUGAAUACGUUCCCGGGUCUU